AUUGAACGCUGGCGGCAGGCUUAACACAUGCAAGUCGAGCGGGGUGAUGGUGCUUGCACUAUCACUUAGCGGCGGACGGGUGAGUAAUGCUUAGGAAUCUGCCUAUUAGUGGGGGACAACAUCUCGAAAGGGAUGCUAAUACCGCAUACGUCCUACGGGAGAAAGCAGGGGAUCACUUGUGACCUUGCGCUAAUAGAUGAGCCUAAGUCGGAUUAGCUAGUUGGUGGGGUAAAGGCCUACCAAGGCGACGAUCUGUAGCGGGUCUGAGAGGAUGAUCCGCCACACUGGGCCUGAGACACGGCCCAGACUCCUACGGGAGGCAGCAGUGGGGAAUAUUGGACAAUGGGGGGAACCCUGAUCCAGCCAUGCCGCGUGUGUGAAGAAGGCCUUAUGGUUGUAAAGCACUUUAAGCGUGGAGGAGGCUCUUUUGGUUAAUACCCAAGAUGAGUGGACGUUACUCGCAGAAUAAGCACCGGCUAACUCUGUGCCAGCCGCCGCGGUAA
rnacentral:rRNA from 1 species